CCUACGGGUGACAGCAGUGGGGAAUAUUGGGCAAUGGGCGCAAGCCUGACCCAGCAAUGCCGCGUGAAGGAAGAAGGCUUUCGGGUUGUAAACUUCUUUGACAGGGGAAGAGCAGAAGACGGUACCCUGAAAACAAGCCACGGCUAACUACGUGCCAGCAGCCGCGGUAAUACGUAGGUGGCAAGCGUUGUCCGGAUUUACUGGGUGUAAAGGGCGUGUAGCCGGGAAGGCAAGUCAGAUGUGAAAUCUGGAGGCUCAACCUCCAAAUUGCAUUUGAAACUGUUUUUCUUGAGUACUGGAGAGGCAGACGGAAUUCCUGGGGGAGCGGGGAAAGGCUGAGAUAUAAGGAGGAACACCAGUGGCGAAGGCGGUCUGCUGGACAGCAACGGACGGUGAGGCGCGAAAGCGUGGGGAGCAAACAGGAUUAGAUACCCUUGUAGUC
rnacentral:rRNA from 1 species